rnacentral:rRNA from 1 species
CCUACGGGAGGCUGCAGUGGGGAAUUUUGGACAAUGGGCGCAAGCCUGAUCCAGCUAUUCCGCGUGUGGGAUGAAGGCCCUCGGGUCGUAAACCACUUUAGUAGAGAACGAAAAGGAGCUAACGAAUAAAUAGCUCUGCUGACGGUACUCUAAGAAUAAGCACCGGCUAACUACGUGCCAGCAGCCGGGGUAAUACGUAGGGUGCGAGCGUUGAUCGGAAUUACUGGGCGAAAAGGGUGUGCAGGCGGCUGAGUAAGACAGAGGUGAAAUCCCCGGGCUUAACCUGGGAACCGCAAAUGGGACUGCGUGGCUAGAGUGCGGCAGGGGGAGGUGGAAUUCCAGGUGUAGCAGUGAAAUGCGUAGAUAUGUGGAAGAACACCGAUGGCGAAGGCAGCCUCCUGGGACGCAACUGACGCUCAGACACGAAAGCGUGGGGAGCAAACAGGAUUAGAUACCCGGGUAGUC